GGUUGUCACGGGCUCGAUGGGAGUUCCGGGUCGUGACACUCUCGAAGGUAAAAUACACAAGUUUAAAAGUUUCACAAGUUUCCAAUCAAAGUAAGCUCAAAACAAACUUGUUUUUCUACAAAAAUGUGUCAAAAGUAAUUUGAAGAGUAAAUUAAAGAGUAGGCAAGUUGAGAACAAAUUUCAAAACUCUUCAAAGUAAAUAAAAUGCACAAGUGUAUCAAAGUUUGUCAAAAAUAAUUUGAAUAGUAACUUAAAGGAUUGACAAUUUAAAAGAAAUUUAAUAAAUUUUUAAUGUAAAUGCAUAAAUUCAAGAAUUGAAAAAUAAAGAGAAAAGACACGAAGAAUUUUUAAAGGUUCGACCCUCUUUAUAAGUGCCUAUGUCCUCUCCCUUAGCAAGCUAAGGAGUUUCAAAUCCAUUAUGAAAAAUACUUUUUCAAGACUCAAGCAUAAUGUGAGACCCAGUACCCUCGUAUAGAAGUCAAUAUGACCUUAUCAAUGAGACAAAAGGUCAAUGGAUUCUGAUUUAAGUGCCAAAGGAUGAAAACGGGUGAAAAGAGUAUUUUAAGAUAAAAUAUUUUGCACAUGAAGAGAUAAUAAUAAAAUAAUAAUAUUUUUAUCGAGAAAAAAUUUAUGAGAUAAAAGGUGAUUCGAAUGUGAGUAGGGGCAAAGUAAGAUGUUUGGAGCCCUGGAAGGCUAGUGGAAUGUGAAACCUCAACCUCCAUAGAGACGUAACUAAAGUAGAUGCGAUAACACGGACUAGGGGUAAUUUCAUCAUUUCUCAUGGUAAGCUCCUAGAAGUAGCUUUAUAAUGUUAUUAAGUUCUAAGUAGGCCUAAGGAAUAGAUGAAUGAUGGUAAAAUGAAUGAAGAAGAUAGAAAUACUGAUAAUUUUUAUAGUAAGGGCAAAAUGGUUAUUUUUCAUCUCGAGUUUAAAUUUCUACGUUUUCGUGAACUCCAGUAUUUCUAGACUAUUAUGGACUUUGUCUUAGUGUCAAAGAAGUAAAAAGAUUGUACAAAGGUAAGGGAAAGACAAAGUGACCUUGGUAAGGCAUAUUGGUAAUUUUAUGAGAAAUUGGAUAAACAUUAGGCAUAACUAUCUAAGUUUCUAGCAACUUCUUCUAAUUUCCAUCAACUUUUUCUUCUUCUUCUUCCCUUCUCACGUUUUCUCACCUUCCAUGGAAGCUUGCUUUGAAACCUCCAUAAAUUUUCUCAAGUUAACCUCAAUUUUCAUGCUUUUACGCACUUUUUUGCAAAGUCCUUUGUACUCUUUUACUCUUUCACCUUAAAACCCUCAAAAGCCUUUCCUUAAUACUUUCUUUCACUAGCUGGACAUUCUAGAGAGAGAAAGAAAGAUUUUUCACAAUAGUUUGAAAGCUUUUGAAAAGAAAUUCAAUUACAAAGCUACGAAGGUGAGUAAUGAAAUUGAGUUGAUUUUUAAUUUGUUGAGAAUGGCUAGUGGUUAGAUUUAUGAGUGUUUUGUAGUUAAGGUUGGUUAUUCAUUUUAGUGUGACUAGAAUAGUGAAAAUAGAUAGCCACUUAAUGGUAGUUGAAAGCUAGCUAGGAAUAACUAGUAGAACAUGAUUUAGGAGAUAGCUUUUAGAAUUAUGGUUAUGUGAAUUGAGUUGAUUUGUGAUGCUAUUAUGUGCGAUAGGUUCCAACGAGACCCCACAUCUUCAUUCGGACCAUUAGUGGGAGUUGGAGUCGAUUUAAGAGUCAACGAGGACCAGUGAGUGAACUUGAAUUAAAAUAUUUUGGAAUAAGUGAUUUAUAUGCUUGAUUGAGCUACUUGAAAUAUUGGUUGGUUUUUCUUUAAAAGUUGCACAGGAACAAGCCUUUGAUGAAAUAUUUUUAUGUUGUGAAAUAUGAUUGUGAUGAAUUCAUUUGUUCCCACAUUAUGUUAAUAUGUAUGUUAUGCAUUGAAUGAUACCUAUUGUGUGAUAAUUAUGACCCAGCUAUGUGUGGUGUAGGAGUGCACAUGAGUUGAUGAUGACCCAACCAUGUGCGGUGUAGGAGUGCACAUGAGCUGAUGAUGACCCAGUUGAAGGAGAGUUGGGGUGAGGUCGGUGGUCAUACGUAUGUUUAUAUAUAUUAUAUAUAUAUAGAGGUUAUGGAAAUUAUAUUGUGGUUGCAUUGAUUAUUGAAUGUGAAAACUUGAGAAAUGCUUUCCAAUUG
rnacentral:lncRNA from 1 species